GCCCGGCUAGCUCAGUCGGUACAGCAUGAGACUCUUAAUUUCAGGGUCGUGAGUUCGACCCCCACGUUGGGCG